UACGUAGGGCGCAAGCGUUAUCCGGAAUUAUUGGGCGUAAAGAGCUCGUAGGCGGUUUGUCGCGUCUGCCGUGAAAGUCCGGGGCUCAACUCCGGAUCUGCGGUGGGUACGGGCAGACUAGAGUGAUGUAGGGGAGACUGGAAUUCCUGGUGUAGCGGUGAAAUGCGCAGAUAUCAGGAGGGGACACCGAUGGCGAAGGCAGGUCUCUGGGCCGAUACUGACGCUGAGGAGCGAAAGUGUGGGGAGCAAACAGG
rnacentral:rRNA from 1 species